GGGUCGAUGGCGUAGUUGGUUAUCGCAUCUGUCUAACAUAGUUUCCGAAUAACACCUCUAUGCACAGAAGGUCCUCAGUUCGAACCUGAGUCGACUCA